rnacentral:snRNA from 1 species
AGCUUUGUGCAAUGGCAAUAUCGUAGCCAGUGAGAUUUAUCCAAGACGUGAUUAUUGUUACUUGAAAAAAAAAAAAAUCCAAUU